UGGGGAAUAUUGGACAAUGGGCGAAAGCCUGAUCCAGCCAUGCCGCGUGUGUGAAGAAGGUCUUCGGAUUGUAAAGCACUUUAAGUUGGGAGGAAGGGCAGUAAGCGAAUACCUUGCUGUUUUGACGUUACCGACAGAAUAAGCACCGGCUAACUCUGUGCCAGCAGCCGCGGUAAUACAGAGGGUGCAAGCGUUAAUCGGAAUUACUGGGCGUAAAGCGCGCGUAGGUGGUUCGUUAAGUUGAAUGUGAAAGCCCCGGGCUCAACCUGGGAACUGCAUCCAAAACUGGCGAGCUAGAGUAGGGCAGAGGGUGGUGGAAGUUCCUGUGUAGCGGAGAAAUGCGUAGAUAUAGGAAGGAACACCAGUGGCGAAGGCGACCACCUGGGCUCAUACUGACACUGAGGUGCGAAAGCGUGGGGAGCAAACAGG
rnacentral:rRNA from 1 species